rnacentral:rRNA from 1 species
GAUGAACGCUGGCGGCGUGCCUAAUACAUGCAAGUCGAGCGAACAGAUGAGGAGCUUGCUCCUCUGACGUUAGCGGCGGACGGGUGAGUAACACGUGGAUAACCUACCUAUAAGACUGGGAUAACUUCGGGAAACCGGAGCUAAUACCGGAUAAUAUAUUGAACCGCAUGGUUCAAUAGUGAAAGACGGUUUUGCUGUCACUUAUAGAUGGAUCCGCGCCGCAUUAGCUAGUUGGUAAGGUAACGGCUUACCAAGGCAACGAUGCGUAGCCGACCUGAGAGGGUGAUCGGCCACACUGGAACUGAGACACGGUCCAGACUCCUACGGGAGGCAGCAGUAGGGAAUCUUCCGCAAUGGGCGAAAGCCUGACGGAGCAACGCCGCGUGAGUGAUGAAGGUCUUCGGAUCGUAAAACUCUGUUAUUAGGGAAGAACAAAUGUGUAAGUAACUAUGCACGUCUUGACGGUACCUAAUCAGAAAGCCACGGCUAACUACAUG